rnacentral:rRNA from 1 species
GACGAACGCUGGCGGCGCGCUUAACACAUGCAAGUCGAACGGGGGCCUUCGGGCCCCAGUGGCGAACGGGUGCGUAACACGUGAGCAACCUGCCUGGAGGAGGGGGAUAACCUCGGGAAACCGGGGCUAAUACCGCAUACGCUCUCUGGCUCGAGUGGGCUGGGGAGGAAAGGGGCUACGGCCUCGUCUUCAGAGGGGCUCGCGGCGUAUCAGCUAGCUGGUGAGGUAACGGCUCACCAGGGCGACGACGCGUAGGGGGUCUGAGAGGAUGGCCCCCCACAUUGGGACUGAGAUACGGCCCAGACUCCUACGGGAGGCAGCAGUGGGGAAUCUUGCGCAAUGGCCGAAAGGCUGACGCAGCGACGCCGCGUGCGGGAGGAAGCCCUUCGGGGUGUAAACCGCUGUCAGGAGGGACGAAAGCCCGGGGGAGGGAAUGCCCCCGGGAAGGACGGUACCUCCAGAGGAAGCACCGGCUAACUCCGUGCCAGCAGCCGCGGUAAUACGGAGGGUGCGAGCGUUGUUCGGAAUUAUGGUACG